rnacentral:rRNA from 1 species
UACGGGGGGGCAAGCGUUGUUCGGAAUUACUGGGCGUAAAGGGUUCGUAGGUGGUCUGCUAAGUCGGACGUGAAAUCCCUCAGCUUAACUGGGGAACUGCGUCCGGUACUGGUGGGCUUGAGUGCAGGAGAGGAACGCGGAAUUCCAGGUGUAGCGGUGAAAUGCGUAGAUAUCUGGAGGAACACCGGUGGCGAAGGCGGCGUUCUGGACUGCAACUGACACUGAUGAACGAAAGCCAGGGGAGCAAACGGG